UCUACGGGGGGCAGCAGUGGGGAAUAUUGGACAAUGGGCGAAAGCCUGAUCCAGCCAUGCCGCGUGUGUGAAGAAGGCCUUCGGGUUGUAAAGCACUUUCAGUGGGGAAGAAAGCCUUGGGGCUAAUACCCUCGAGGAAGGACAUCACCCACAGAAGAAGCACCGGCUAACUCCGUGCCAGCAGCCGCGGUAAUACGGAGGGUGCGAGCGUUAAUCGGAAUUACUGGGCGUAAAGCGCGCGUAGGCGGUCUGAUAAGCCGGUUGUGAAAGCCCCGGGCUCAACCUGGGAACGGCAUCCGGAACUGUCAGGCUAGAGCGCAGGAGAGGAAGGUAGAAUUCCCGGUGUAGCGGUGAAAUGCGUAGAGAUCGGGAGGAAUACCAGUGGCGAAGGCGGCCUUCUGGACUGACACUGACGCUGAGGUGCGAAAGCGUGGGUAGCAAACAGGAUUAGAUACCCUAGUAGUC
rnacentral:rRNA from 1 species